ACCACGCCCCAACCCACCUACCACGCCCCCGCACACUACGAGCCCGAAUACCCUGAUGUCCCACCCAAGUACAAGUACAACUACGGCGUCGCCGACGGCUACUCCGGCGCCAACUUCGGCCACUCGGAGUCCCGCGACGGCUACAAGACCGAGGGCAGCUACACCGUCGACCUCCCCGACGGCCGCAAGCAGACCGUCA
rnacentral:misc_RNA from 1 species